UGUGUGUAGAUUUGUAAGUCGAUCUGGAUAAGAGUGUCUGCUAAAUGACUUAAA
rfam:Salmo salar isolate Sally breed double haploid chromosome ssa19, whole genome shotgun sequence.